UAUUGUGAGCAUUUCUUUUAUUAUGCAUUCAUCUUUUUUUUUUUUUCUGUUAAAAAUCCGAUUAAAAUAAAUUCUAAAAUCUGUUGACACACACUAAAUACAUUCACCAAAUCACACACACACAAUAUUCGUUUCCUAUCUAGUAACCUACUCCUGGGCAGACACUGUGUCACAAAUGAACGAAAGUCAUUUCAUCAAUCCAGCAAUUAAAGUUGACAACCAUUGUAUAGGCCUUUCAUUGACCAAGUUGCUACAGUAGUAUUCUAUUUCUCAUUGAAAUCUGUGAGAGUAGUCAUUACUACUUAAAAUAAAACAAAAAAAAAAAAAAAACAACUGGGAAAAAAU